AGGGCAAGUCUGGUGCCAGCAGCCGCGGUAAUUCCAGCUCCAAUAGCGUAUAUUAAAGUUGUUGCAGUUAAAAAGCUCGUAGUUGAAUUUCGGGGUUAGUAGGUUGGUCAUGCCACUGGUAUGUACUGAUCUUACUGAUUCCUCCUUCCUGAUGAACCGUAAUGCCAUUAAUUUGGUGUUGCGGGGAGACUGGACUGUUACUUUGAAAAAAUUAGAGUGUUUAAAGCAGGCUAACGCUUGAAUACAUUAGCAUGGAAUAAUGAAAUAGGACGUUCGAUCCUAUUUUGUUGGUUUCUAGGAUUGACGUAAUGAUUAAUAGGGAUAGUUGGGGGCAUUAGUAUUCAAUUGUCAGAGGUGAAAUUCUUGGAUUUAUUGAAGACUAACUACUGCGAAAGCAUUUGCCAAGGAUGUUUUCAUUAAUCAAGAACGAAAGUUAGGGGAUCGAAGACGAUCAGAUACCGUCGUAGUCUUAACCAUAAACUAUGCCGACUAGGGGUCGGAUGAUGUUAAUUUUUUAAUGACUCAUUCGGCGCCUUACGGGAA
rnacentral:rRNA from 1 species